CUUUAUUAAUCAUAUUCAUUGUUCAAUAUAUUUUAAUCUAACUUAUACAAUAGCUCUCCACUCCAUCAGGUUCCCGAUCAUAAAUCUUCUCCAUCCUUUUUGUUCUUCACUCCAAUAGAGAAUAGACUCUUGUUUUGCUGUGAUAUUGAAUUCUCUAUGGAAGAAUUUUUCAUAUCCUACCAGUGUUCCUCUUUCCAGACAAAACGUGCCAUCCUGCUUGUAAAAAGCUAUCACUACAUUCCCAUACAACAUGCGAUCUAUUAGUUUAAUGCACUCUUGUACAAUUCUCUCCGCACAUUUAUCCGAAAUCCCCUUUUCAGCAGUAAUACGUUUUUUCCAUACUAAUUUGCAAGCUUCUAACUUGCCUUUCCUGAUUUUUUGUCUCAUUUUCUUCUGUUUUUAAUUUUGAAAAAUAAAUUUCUGUUUGAGCGUAAAUCUUCCCUUAUAGAUAGUGACGGUAUGUUGUUGUCAUAGCGUCACUAUCCUUUCAUUAUAGUGACGCUAUAACGAUAGCAUACCGUCACUAUUUUUUUAAGAGAAAAUCUGUUAGUUUUCGACCGGUUGAAAACGGCGGCGAUGACCUGCGGAUAGGGGUGAAAGGCCAAUCAAACCCGGAGAUAUCUCGUUCUCCCCGAAAUAGCUUUAGGGCUAGCGUCGCGCGUUCACCGCCGGAGGUAGAGCACCGGAUGGACGAGGGGGCUUCGCCGCCUACCGAAUCCAACCGAACUCCGAAUGCCGGCGGCCCAGAGCGCGGCAGUCAGAGCAUGUGGGCUAAGCUGUGUGCUCGAGAGGGAAACAGCCCGGACCGCCCGCUAAGGUCCCCAAGUUCCAGCCGAGUGGCAAAGGAUGUGCGUCCGCCCAGACAACCAGGAUGUUGGCUUAGAAGCAGCCAUUCAUUCAAAGAGUGCGUAACAGCUCACUGGUCGAGUGGACAUGCGCCGACAAUACACGGGGCUAAGCUGGACACCGAAGCGGCGGGAUUUUGAUUUUCAGAAUCGGUAGGGGAGCUUCCCAUGGGCGGGGAAGCCGCCGGGCGACCGGCGGUGGAGCGCAUGGGAGUGAGAAUGCUGGCAUGAGUAGCGAGAGACGAGAGAGUAACUCGUCCGCCGUGAACCCGAGGUUUCCUGGGCAAGGCUAAUCCUCCCAGGGUCAGUCGGGGGCUAAGGCGAGGCCGGGAGGCGUAGCCGACGCGCAGCAGGCAGACAUUCCUGCACCGCGCACGCGGCGCUACGACCGACGGGGCGACGGAUGGGGGUGGCUCGGCGGGGUUCUGGACGUCCCCGUGAUGGAGCGCGGCCCGCGGACCAGGGAAAUCCGGUCCGCACGAGGGCGAGGCUCCGGACGAAGCGAUCAAGCGAAGCGAGUGAGCCCGAGGUCCCUAGAAAAACCCCUAGGCAGGCGCGUGCGCGCCCGUACCGCAAACCGACACAGGUGGGUGGGUAGAACAUACCGAGGCGAUCGGGUCAACCAUGGUCAAGGAACUCGGCAAAAUGGCCCCGUAACUUCGGGAGAAGGGGUGCCCGCGCGUACGUGAACGGACUUGCUCCGGGAGCGGAGGCGGGCCGCAGUGGAGAGGCCCAAGCGACUGUUUACCAAAAACACAGGACUCUGCAGAAGCCGCAAGGCGACGUAUAGGGUCUGACGCCUGCCCGGUGCCGGAAGGUCACGCGGAGGAGUUAGCCGCAAGGCGAAGCCCCGAAGCCAAGCCCCGGUAAACGGCGGCCGUAACUAUAACGGUCCUAAGGUAGCGAAAUUCCUUGUCGGGUAAGUUCCGACCUGC
rnacentral:rRNA from 1 species